rnacentral:tRNA from 1 species
GGCCGGGUGGUGGAAUGGCAGACACGGGGGACUUAAAAUCCCUUUCUGGCAACAGAGUGUGGGUUCAACUCCCACCCCGGCCACCA